CACGUAGGGGACGAGCGUUGUCCGGAUUCAUUGGGCGUAAAGCGCGCGUAGGCGGCUCGGAAAGUCGGUCGUGAAAUGCCGGGGCUCAACCCCGGGACUGCGUCCGAUACUCCCGAGCUGGAGGCAGGUAGGGGGGAUCGGAAUUCCUGGUGUAGCGGUGAAAUGCGCAGAUAUCAGGAGGAACACCGGUGGCGAAGGCGGAUCUCUGGGCCUUGCCUGACGCUGAGGCGCGAAAGCUAGGGGAGCAAACGGG
rnacentral:rRNA from 1 species